GGCAGGUAAAUGGAUGACUAAGCUAUGAAUCUGAGACUUUUGAGUUGGGGAAAUCAGAAGUGUUGUGUCCCAGGUGAGCGAGAGGACAGCCAGGCAGCAGCUGCCUCAUGGGAAACCCAGAGAGUUCAGAUUGGACAUGAAGAAGUCUUCAAAAGUGCUCAGGACUUUUCCAGGUGUUUCAGAGACCUCAGCGGAGAAGAACCUUUCCUGGCUGCCUUUCAGCGCCGGCUUCCUCCUCUACAAAUAGCGCAUUACUGUGGUAAAAGGCAGCACUUUUACAUCAGCAGUGCUGCCGUCAUCGCCCUGAAUGCCAGCCUUGGGAAUUCUGACCUUUGUGUAGCAAAGCAUGUUCUACCCUUUGGCAGUUAA
rnacentral:lncRNA from 1 species